UACGUAGGUCCCGAGCGUUGUCCGGAUUUAUUGGGCGUAAAGCGAGCGCAGGUGGUUUAAUAAGUCUGAUGUAAAAGGCAGUGGCUCAACCGUUGUGUGCAUUGGAAACUGUUAGACUUGAGUGCAGUAGAGGAGAGUGGAAUUCCAUGUGUAGCGGUGAAAUGCGUAGAUAUAUGGAGGAACACCGGUGGCGAAAGCGGCUCUCUGGACUGUAACUGACACUGAGGCUCGAAAGCGUGGGUAGCAAACAGG
rnacentral:rRNA from 1 species